rnacentral:rRNA from 1 species
CAGCCGCCGCGGGAAUACGUAGGGGGCAAGCGUUAUCCGGAAUAACUGGGCGUAAAGCGUGCGCAGGCGGUUUUGUAAGACAGGCGUGAAAUCCCCGGGCUCAACCUGGGAAUGGCGCUUGUGACUGCAAUGCUAGAGUGCGGCAGAGGGGGAUGGAAUUCCGCGUGUAGCAGUGAAAUGCGUAGAUAUGCGGAGGAACACCGAUGGCGAAGGCAAUCCCCUGGGCCUGCACUGACGCUCAUGCACGAAAGCGUGGGGAGCAAACAGGAUUAGAUACCCCGGUAGUCCCUGUCUCUUAUAC